UGGGGAAUUUUGGACAAUGGGGGAAACCCUGAUCCAGCCAUCCCGCGUGUGCGAUGAAGGCCUUCGGGUUGUAAAGCACUUUUGGCAGGAAAGAAACGUCGCGGGUUAAUACCCCGCGAAACUGACGGUACCUGCAGAAUAAGCACCGGCUAACUACGUGCCAGCAGCCGCGGUAAUACGUAGGGUGCAAGCGUUAAUCGGAAUUACUGGGCGUAAAGCGUGCGCAGGCGGUUCGGAAAGAAAGAUGUGAAAUCCCAGAGCUUAACUUUGGAACUGCAUUUUUAACUACCGGGCUAGAGUGUGUCAGAGGGAGGUGGAAUUCCGCGUGUAGCAGUGAAAUGCGUAGAUAUGCGGAGGAACACCGAUGGCGAAGGCAGCCUCCUGGGAUAACACUGACGCUCAUGCACGAAAGCGUGGGGAGCAAACAGGAUUAGAUACCCUGGUAGUCCACGCCCUAAACGAUGUCAACUAGCUGUUGGGGGCCUUCGGGCCUUGGUAGCGCAGCUAACGCGUGAAGUUGACCGCCUGGGGAGUACGGUCGCAAGAUUAAACUUAAAUGAAUUGACGGGGUCAUAGCUG
rnacentral:rRNA from 1 species